rnacentral:rRNA from 1 species
UAUUAUACUAGAAAAUUUAUAAUAAAAGAAUUAAAUUAUUAUAAGAUAUAGUCUUUAAAUUUGAAGAAUUUGGCGGUAGUUUAGUCUUUCCAGAGGAACCUGUUUUGUAAUCGAUAAGCCACGAAUAAUCUUACUUAUCUAAGUUAAAAACCCUAAGUUUGUAUACCGUCAUUAUCAGAUAAUAUUUCAAGAUUUAUUAUUAAAAUUAAAAAAGCUAAAAAAAUUAGAUCAAGGUGCAGCCAAUAGAUAAGUUAAAAUGGGUUACAAUUAAGUAAAUAUAAAAAUGAAAUAAAAUUUGAAAUAAAUUUUAGGAAGGAGGAUUUGGUUGUAAUAGGAAUUAGUAAGACAAUAAGAUAAAAGCUCUAAAUUAU